rnacentral:rRNA from 1 species
UAACGCGAAGAACCUUACCAGCCCUUGACAUGUCCGGGACCGGUCGCAGAGACGCGACCUUCUCUUCGGAGCCCGGAACACAGGUGCUGCAUGGCUGUCGUCAGCUCGUGUCGUGAGAUGUUGGGUUAAGUCCCGCAACGAGCGCAACCCCCGUCCUUAGUUGCUACCAUUCAGUUGAGCACUCUAGGGAGACUGCCGGUGAUAAGCCGCGAGGAAGGUGGGGAUGACGUCAAGUCCUCAUGGCCCUUACGGGCUGGGCUACACACGUGCUACAAUGGCGGUGACAAUGGGAUGCAAAGGCGCAAGCCCCAGCAAAUCUCAAAAAGCCGUCUCAGUUCGGAUUGGGCUCUGCAACUCGAGCCCAUGAAGUUGGAAUCGCUAGUAAUCGUGGAUCAGCACGCCACGGUGAAUACGUUCCCGGGUCUUGUACACACGC